GUGGUGACUCAGUGGUAUAGCACUUGCCUAGAAUGCAUGAGGCCCUGGGUUCGAUCCCCAGCACCACA
rfam:Ictidomys tridecemlineatus contig118890, whole genome shotgun sequence.